rnacentral:rRNA from 1 species
GCAGUCGAGCGGACGUUUUUGAAGCUUGCUUCAAAAACGUUAGCGGCGGACGGGUGAGUAACACGUGGGCAACCUACCUUAUCGACUGGGAUAACUCCGGGAAACCGGGGCUAAUACCGGAUAACAUCUAGCACCUCCUGGUGCCGGAUUAAAAGAGGGCUUCUUGCUCUCACGAUGAGAUGGGCCCGCGGCGCAUUAGCUAGUUGGAGAGGUAACGGCUCCCCAAGGCGACGAUGCGUAGCCGACCUGAGAGGGUGAUCGGCCACACUGGGACUGAGACACGGCCCAGACUCCUACGGGAGGCAGCAGUAGGGAAUCUUCCGCAAUGGACGAAAGUCUGACGGAGCAACGCCGCGUGAGUGAUGAAGGGUUUCGGCUCGUAAAGCUCUGUUAUGAGGGAAGAACACGUACCGUUCGAAUAGGGCGGUACCUUGACGGUACCUCAUCAGAAAGCCACGGCUAACUACGUGCCAGCAGCCGCGGUAAUACGUAGGUGGCAAGCGUUGUCCGGAAUUAUUGGGCGUAAAGCGCGCGCAGGCGGCCUUUUAAGUCUGAUGUGAAAUCUUGCGGCUCAACCGCAAGCGGCCAUUGGAAACUGGGAGGCUUGAGUACAGAAGAGGAGAGUGGAAUUCCACGUGUAGCGGUGAAAUGCGUAGAUAUGUGGAGGAACACCAGUGGCGAAGGCGACUCUCUGGUCUGUAACUGACGCUGAGGCGCGAAAGCGUGGGG